UACGGGGGAUGCGAGCGUUAUCCGGAUUUAUUGGGUUUAAAGGGCGCGUAGGCGGGACGUCAAGUCAGCGGUAAAAGACUGCAGCUAAACUGUAGCACGCCGUUGAAACUGUCGACCUGGAGACGAGACGAGGGAGGCGGAACAAGUGAAGUAGCGGUGAAAUGCAUAGAUAUCACUUGGAACCCCGAUAGCGAAGGCAGCUUCCCAGGCUCGAUCUGACGCUGAUGCGCGAGAGCGUGGGUAGCGAACAGG
rnacentral:rRNA from 1 species